rnacentral:rRNA from 1 species
AAGUCGAGCGGAACGAGUUAUCUGAACCUUCGGGGGACGAUAACGGCGUCGAGCGGCGGACGGGUGAGUAAUGCCUAGGAAAUUGCCCUGGUGUGGGGGAUAACCAUUGGAAACGAUGGCUAAUACCGCAUAACACCUUCGGGUCAAAGAGGGGGACCUUCGGGCCUCUCGCGUCAGGAUAUGCCUAGGUGGGAUUAGCUAGUUGGUGAGGUAAUGGCUCACCAAGGCGACGAUCCCUAGCUGGUCUGAGAGGAUGAUCAGCCACACUGGAACUGAGACACGGUCCAGACUCCUACGGGAGGCAGCAGUGGGGAAUAUUGCACAAUGGGCGCAAGCCUGAUGCAGCCAUGCCGCGUGUGUGAAGAAGGCCUUCGGGUUGUAAAGCACUUUCAGUCGUGAGGAAGGUAGUGUAGUUAAUAGCUGCAUUAUUUGACGUUAGCGACAGAAGAAGCACCGGCUAACUCCGUGCCAGC